GCCAGGCGUGGUGGCGCGCGCCUGUAAUCCCAGCUACUCAGGAGGCUGAGGCAGGAGAAUCAUUUGAACUCAGGAGGCAGAGGUUGCAGUGACCCAAGAUCAGGCCACUGCACUCUACCCUGGGUGACAGAGCGAGACUCUGUCUCAA
rnacentral:SRP_RNA from 1 species